rnacentral:rRNA from 1 species
ACGUGAGCAACCUGCCCCUGACUCUGGGAUAGCCUCGGGAAACCGGGAUUAAUACCGGAUAUGACAUCGCCUCGCAUGGGGUGGUGUGGAAAGUUUUUCGGUCGGGGAUGGGCUCGCGGCCUAUCAGCUUGUUGGUGGGGUGAUGGCCUACCAAGGCGACGACGGGUAGCCGGCCUGAGAGGGUGACCGGCCACACUGGGACUGAGACACGGCCCAGACUCCUACGGGAGGCAGCAGUGGGGAAUAUUGCACAAUGGGCGCAAGCCUGAUGCAGCCAUGCCGCGUGUGUGAAGAAGGCUU